UAUCAUAAGGACAUACAUUCGAAAUGACUAAGUCCCUAUACAUGUCAUAGCUCAAACAUUGAUCAUCAUUAAAUACCGAGUUGUUGUUGUUGAUAGUGUGAGCAUUCUCCGACAUCUUUAAGAUCCCCGAAUUAGCUUUGCAAUACUAUAAAAGAAGGAAAAUAAAUGAAGUAAGCAUAAAGCUUAGUAAGUUUACAAGCAAAUAAAU
rnacentral:lncRNA from 1 species